rnacentral:rRNA from 1 species
GAUGAACGCUGGCGGCGUGCCUAAUACAUGCAAGUCGAGCGAACGGACGAGAAGCUUGCUUCUCUGAUGUUAGCGGCGGACGGGUGAGUAACACGUGGAUAACCUACCUAUAAGACUGGGAUAACUUCGGGAAACCGGAGCUAAUACCGGAUAAUAUUUUGAACCGCAUGGUUCAAAAGUGAAAGACGGUCUUGCUGUCACUUAUAGAUGGAUCCGCGCUGCAUUAGCUAGUUGGUAAGGUAACGGCUUACCAAGGCAACGAUGCAUAGCCGACCUGAGAGGGUGAUCGGCCACACUGGAACUGAGACACGGUCCAGACUCCUACGGGAGGCAGCAGUAGGGAAUCUUCCGCAAUGGGCGAAAGCCUGACGGAGCAACGCCGCGUGAGUGAUGAAGGUCUUCGGAUCGUAAAACUCUGUUAUUAGGGAAGAACAUAUGUGUAAGUAACUGUGCACAUCUUGACGGUACCUAAUCAGAAAGCCACGGCUAACUACGUGCCAGCAGCCGCGGUAAUACGUAGGUGGCAAGCGUUAUCCGGAAUUAUUGGGCGUNAAGCGCGCGUAGGUGGUUUUUUAAGUCUGAUGUGAAAGCCCACGGCUCAACCGUGGAGGGUCAUUGGAAACUGGAAAACUUGAGUGCAGAAGAGGAAAGUGGAAUUCCAUGUGUAGCGGUGAAAUGCGCAGAGAUAUGGAGGAACACCAGUGGCGAAGGCGACUUUCUGGUCUGUAACUGACGCUGAUGUGCGAAAGCGUGGGGAUCAAACAGGAUUAGAUACCCUGGUAGUCCACGCCGUAAACGAUGAGUGCUAAGUGUUAGGGGGUUUCCGCCCCUUAGUGCUGCAGCUAACGCAUUAAGCACUCCGCCUGGGGAGUACGACCGCAAGGUUGAAACUCAAAGGAAUUGACGGGGACCCGCACAAGCGGUGGAGCAUGUGGUUUAAUUCGAAGCAACGCGAAGAACCUUACCAAAUCUUGACAUCCUUUGACAACUCUAGAGAUAGAGCCUUCCCCUUCGGGGGACAAAGUGACAGGUGGUGCAUGGUUGUCGUCAGCUCGUGUCGUGAGAUGUUGGGUUAAGUCCCGCAACGAGCGCAACCCUUAAGCUUAGUUGCCAUCAUUAAGUUGGGCACUCUAAGUUGACUGCCGGUGACAAACCGGAGGAAGGUGGGGAUGACGUCAAAUCAUCAUGCCCCUUAUGAUUUGGGCUACACACGUGCUACAAUGGACAAUACAAAGGGCAGCGAAACCGCGAGGUCAAGCAAAUCCCAUAAAGUUGUUCUCAGUUCGGAUUGUAGUCUGCAACUCGACUACAUGAAGCUGGAAUCGCUAGUAAUCGUAGAUCAGCAUGCUACGGUGAAUACGUUCCCGGGUCU